CGCCAGCGGCCUCCUCCGAGCGACAUGGGCCGCGGGCUGACCCUGCUCCUGCUGCCGCUGGCCCUGUUGGCGGCCCCGGCGCAGGCCGAAGGCGGCAGGGCGGCGGAGGAGGAGGUUAAAAUCGAGGUGCUGCACCUCCCCGAGGCGUGCAGCCCGAAGAGCAAGAAAGGGGAUCUGCUGAACGCCCACUACGACGGCUUCCUGGCCAGCGACGGAUCCAAGUUUUACUGCAGUCGGACGCAAAAUGAAGGUCAUCCAAAAUGGUUCGUUCUGGGUGUUGGACAAGUCAUAAAAGGAUUAGAUAUUGCUAUGAUGAAUAUGUGUCCUGGAGAAAAACGGAAAGUGAUCAUUCCUCCAUCGUUAGCAUAUGGACAGCAAGGAUACGCACAGGGCAAGAUUCCACCCAAUGCAACAUUGAUUUUUGAGAUUGAACUUUAUGCAGUAAAUAAGGGACCUCGCAGCGUUGAAGCGUUUAAUCAAAUAGACAAGGACAGUGACAAGAAACUCUCUGAACUUGAGAUAAGCCAGUAUUUGAAAGAAGAAUUUGCAAGAGAUGGCAAAAAACGUCAUCCCUCAGUCCAUGAUGAAAUCUUAGCUGAUAUAUUUAAGAAGAAUGACCAUGAUGGAGAUGGUUUCAUAUCAGCAAAGGAGUACAAUGUCUACCAGCAUGAUGAACUCUAAGUACUUAAAAAACCUUUGGCUGUUUUCUGGACACUGAAUUCUAAACAAAAAUACUCUGUCACAGAAUUUUUUCUGGUGUUUUUUUUUAUAGUGGCAUCUUUUUUAUGUGACUGUAAAAAUCUUAUUUUUAACAUUCAACUAAUAAAAUGUAUUAGGUAUUUCAAAGGAAAGAAAUACAAUUGGAAAACAGCAUGGUCUAGUAUUAGUCAUUCCUGCAUCAUGUCCUAAUCUAUGGUAUUGCUCAGUAGUCUUUCUCAUCGUGUAAAAUACCGAUUAAAACAAUUAUCUCUGUCAUAUCAAACACACAAAAAUAGGUCCAGUACCUUUUGACAUAGAUAAAACAUAACUUCUCAAUCCUCUGUAAAAUAAAAGGGGAGAACAGAAUUAACUCCACAAAACCUCUGCAGGCUACUAGGCUGACUUCUUGAGAGAUUGUUAUUUGCAGCAAAUUUAAAUAUAAAAGGUCUUAAAAGAAAUGAACACUGGCCAUGGAAUGUCAAAAACAAAAUCAGAAAUGUUCUUAAAGCAACUUAAAGUAACCUCUUUGAUGUAAUAUUAACAUGAAUAAUUUCGUGUUCAUGAAAAAGCAGUACUUUAAGUGGAUUUUUAAACUUUGACUUAGUAAAAUUACUAAGUUAGCUGGUUUAUUCAGCAGCACCAAGUUCAAAAUCUACACUAUCGUGAUUUACUUGGAUGAGGUGGAAGACGAUGGGAGAUACUGUAUAUAAAUAUAAGUAUAUAUAUAUAAGUAAUAUAAGCAUCAUUCUGGUUUCCCUCACUUUGGAAAAAUGCAAAGAAGUAGCAACAGUUAACAGAUAGUACUUCGGGCUCAUUAACUGUUCUGCUUGUGCAGAUGUCUUUGUAAUAUUUGUCUAACAUACUUUUCUCAUGUGAAAAGCAGUAGCUGUAUUUUAUUUCAACAUCAGGUGUGCACAGGGAAAAUGGCAGCACAAGUAAAAAAAAAAAAAGCUUCUGUACCUGGGUUAACCUUAAAAUCAUUCUAAAAGGUAGAAAAACAUUUUUUAAUUUUUUUUGUAGUUGAAGAUAGCGGUGGGGAGAGCUUCAGCAGUGUACUAGCUAAUGUCAGUAUUGGGCGGAAUUCUGUAGUGCCCUCUGGUGUUUAUGUGCUCAACACAUACAAUUCUCUGUGGUUGAGAUCCACUGGUUAAAAACCUUCACCCCCCUGAGGUCUUGUUGGAAGGACAUAAGUUCUGUUGUUCACAUAAGCUUCCAAAACAUUUUCUGCUAAGCAGUUUUUUUCUGAACACAUAAAAGAAAUCAAGAUCAGCUGUUACCUAAAAUCCAAACGCAGAAGGUGGGCUGGCUGGUACUUUUUAGUAAUCUAAACAAACUGUUGACAUAUGGUAAUAGCUUCCUAAUAUGAAAUACCUAUCCCUAGUUUUAGUUGUUCCCUUUUGUAAAUGAAACAUUAGACUGAGCUAAGUUUUAGCGUGUUUUUUAAUCUGAUACUUCAAUUAAACAUUCAUGAGAACACUAAAUUAUUAACAAAUAUUCUCAUUUUACCAUCAUAUGCCAGUGUAGAUAAAGGCAACAUAUUGGGAUUUAACUACAAGUUUGUGUAAACAACUUAAAGUAAGUACUAGCAUAUAUUUUGACAUUAUGAAAAUUCAGUUGAAAAGUACAGUUUUCAUUAUGAUAAUGAAAGUGUUCUGGAAAGAAGCAGAAGAAUGUCUGGGAAUGCACAAGGGCAUUUUCAAGUGAAAGGUCAUUGACUGUGAAGCAAAUAAUUUGAAAAUAAUAGUGUAAUAAAAUGUUUUGCACUUUCA